ensembl:lncRNA
CGAUACGUUAUUUGAACCCUGUAUUUGGCUGUAGUCGCUGGUUUUGCCGACUCAGGAUCUCUUGAGGAUGUCUUGGCUCCGAGUCCCAGCUUGCGUAGACUCUGAUAGGGUGGUGAAGGCUGCGCAGACUUGAGAGGUUUGGUCAGAGAGCCUAGAAUUGAAAUGGAAACCUCCCCCAUCUGUCAUGGCCAAGGUCUUAGAGAAUCUGGGGGGCGAAGGGAGUUGGGAGCUGGGAGGUCCAGGUUGUUCUUAUCCUCAGAGGUUGGCCAGUCCUGGGGAACUUAGUGCCAGGGACCACCAUAGGGAUAUUCUGCUGCUUUAUCAAACACACGAAGACAUUAAGAGAUGGAACUGUGAUUGUGGGAAAGGAGAGGGUAGGAGGAAGUCGCAAGUGGCUCCUGGAAAAUCUGAGAAGUACCUGACCUGUGGAUUUGUGCCCAGGGCAUUUUAUUUUAUUAUUUUAUGUGUCCCAGUCAUGACUCAAAAUGAAGUCCUGCCCGCCCGUGACUCAGAGCCCAGUUUCCGUCACAACUGGUUCUGUUAUCACAACUUGAAAUACUGACCAACAGCAAGACACGAAAACUGCUCCUAGACUAUGAUAGCAAAAGCCAAACGUUAUAAAUGUACAUCAUUUUGUAAAAGACUGAACUUCAGGCCAUCCAUUUUCGGUGGGAAGGGCACAGAAGUGAUGCUGUACCCUUUUCCAUGGAUUACAUCAGGAUGCAACUCAGUGUUGAUACGUCCCUGGUGAUGCCAACCUCGAUCAUCUGAUGCUGUUGGUUGGGAAUAUUAGUCCUAGCAGUGUGUUUAUUUGGACAGAAUCUUCUCACAGCAAAGCAAGCUGAGGUCCCCUGGAGCAGAUCAUACAGACAUGGUUUCUAUGCUGGGUUUGUUGAUACUGGUGGUAUUUGGCAGAGACCGAAUACCUGGCUUGUAGAAGACAUCAUACCUCACACUCAUCCUGCUCUCACACGUGGAAGGUACACCAUCCUGACCGGUGACUGUGCCUUCUGCCUGCCUGAAGAUAAGGUGGCCACAGGACCAACAGGGACUAUUGGUGACCAGUGCACCCUUGUGCACUGGGAUUAGGGAUUGGCCCUAAUUUGGUUAUUUCAGGCAAAGGUGUAACCAUAAACCUCACCCUGAAUCUAGAAAUUAAGGUUUCCUGAGCAAUUCUUGGAAGGCAGUUCCUGGCAGCACUUAAACCCCCAAGGAAGCAAAGAGAAGCCUGAAACAAAAUCCAGAUGCCUUGCAUGGGACACUCACUUUGUUGUGGAGGUCAGUGCUGCCAAAGAAAAAUGACUUCUCAGGCUUGCCAUGUCUCGUUCCAAAUGGGUGUCCUCAGAAAAGUAAACUUGGUGCCACAAAGAUUAAUGCGCUAUGAAGUAAGAAUAUCCAGGCAUCUUGGAACGUCUGUGUGCCCAUGGGGUGGGAAUGCCUGGUGAGCCCACUUGCUAUGUUGUCCUGAGGGGUCCGGCCACAGCGCUGCCUGAGCAGGGGUGGGUAGGUGGACCUGGGCACCACAGUCCAUGUCCAAGCUCCUUUUGGGUCCCCAUUUGUGUGGCACCCUCUGCACUGGGUUUGGGUAUUUCUGAAUCAGCAUUCCUGAAGAGGUUCUCUAAUUAAACAUGUUAGAAAUCGACAGAAGGAACUGGAGGGAGGGGUGGGGAUGAGAGGACAGAAAGAGAGGAAAGAGAGAGGAAACUAAGACUGGUGGAAUAUCUACUACGCAUCAGACACCUUAU